GGAUGGGUGGCCGAGCGGUCGAAGGCACCGGUCUUGAAAACCGGCGUGCGGGCAACCGCACCGUGGGUUCGAAUCCCACCCCAUCCGCCA
rnacentral:tRNA from 1 species